UACAGAGGGGGCAAGCGUUGUUCGGAAUUACUGGGCGUAAAGGGCGCGUAGGCGGCCCUCUAAGUCAGACGUGAAAUCCCUCGGCUCAACCGGGGAACUGCGUCUGAGACUGGAAGGCUUGAAUUCGGUAGGGGAGACUGGAAUUCCUGGUGUAGCGGUGAAAUGCGCAGAUAUCAGGAGGAACACCGGUGGCGAAGGCGGGUCUCUGGGCCGAUAUUGACGCUGAGGAGCGAAAGCGUGGGGAGCGAACAGG
rnacentral:rRNA from 1 species